AGGACGAACGCUGGCGGCGUGCUUAACACAUUCAAGUCGAGCGGAAAGGCCCUUCGGGGUACUCGAGCGGCGAACGGGUGAGUAACACGUGAGCAACCUGCCCUUAGCUUCGGGAUAGCUCCGGGAAACCGGAAUUAAUACCGAAUAUGACUUUGGCUGACAUCAGCAGAAGUGGAAAGUUUUUCGGCUAGGGAUGGACUCGCGGCCUAUCAGCUAGUUGGUGAGGUAACGGCCCACCAAGGCGACGACGGGUAGCCGGCCUGAGAGGGCGACCGGCCACACUGGGACUGAGACACGGCCCAGACUCCUACGGGAGGCAGCAGUGGGGAAUAUUGCGCAAUGGGCGAAAGCCUGACGCAGCGACGCCGCGUGGGGGAUGAAUGCCUUCGGGUUGUAAACCCCUUUCAGCAGGGACGAAGCGAAAGUGACGGUACCUGCAGAAGAAGCGCCGGCUAACUACGCGCCAGCAGCCGC
rnacentral:rRNA from 1 species